UUGCCCUAGGAUGCAAAAGAAAAUACGCCCUGUAUUUUCUGUCUUUGUGGUUGUUCAGAUUGAAUUGGGGAGUAUAUCU
rnacentral:snoRNA from 1 species